UUCCGGUUGAUCCCGCCGGACCUGACUGCUAUCGGAUUGAUACUAAGCCAUGCGAGUCAUUGUAGUAAUACAAGGCAGACGGCUCAGUAACGCGUAGUCAACCUACCCUAUGGACGGGAAUAACCUCGGGAAACUGAGAAUAAUGCCCGAUAGAACAUUAUGCCUGGAAUGGUUUAUGUUCCAAAUGAUUUAUCGCCGUAGGAUGGGACUGCGGCCUAUCAGUUUGUUGGUGAGGUAAUGGCCCACCAAGACUAUUACAGGUACGGGCUCUGAGAGGAGUAGCCCGGAGAUGGGUACUGAGACACGGACCCAGGCCCUAUGGGGCGCAGCAGGCGAGAAAACUUUGCAACUGUGCGAAAGCACGACAAGGUUAAUCCGAGUGGUUUCUGCUACAACGGAACCUUUUGUCGGUCCUAGAAACACCGAUGAAUAAGGGGUGGGCAGGUUCUGGUGUCAGCCGCCGCGGGUAAAAACCAGCACCUCAAGUGGUCAGGCAUGCAUUAUUGGGCCCUACACGCAUCCCGUAGCCCGGGCU
rnacentral:rRNA from 1 species